rnacentral:miRNA from 1 species
GCAGACACAUUCCAGCCAAUCAGCAGCAGACCCUCCCUCCCAGACCCUACCACCUCCUGGACUACAUCCAUUGUGAAGCUGCAUUCUUAGUGAGCUGUCCAGGAGGUGGGAGGGUCUGGGAGGGAGGGUCUGCUGCUGAUUGGCUGGAAUGUGUCUG